CCCCAGUUUCCUCCUCCCUGAGCGCACAGAAGGAAAUCUCUCCUCUCUGAGCAGGCUGCAGAGCCCAGAACUUUCCCGUCAUCGCCCAGAGGCUUUCCCACACCACUUGGCAGCCUGCAGACUGGUCUUCAUCCAAGUGCCAAAGGAGAACCCACAGUGCAAGCCAGGAAGACCAUGACAAUCAUCUGUGCUCUUCUCUCUGUGCCUAACAUUGUCAUCUCCCAUAUGCACCACUGGCCCACCUUUGAGAAAGAAUUCAAACUCCACUUCCUGGCCAGGCUGGUCUCGAACUCCUGACCUCAAACCCCACUUUCUUCAUGAGGCUUGCUAUGACCCCACCACACCCACCAGGCCAGACCACCAUCACCUCUCACUGGACCCUGCUACGACCACCUCCCUGAUCUUUCUGCCCUUGGGCUCGCUCCAUGGAGCCCCUUCUCCACACAGCAGCAGCCAGAGGCAGUUUCUGGAGCCCACAGCUGAAUGCGUUGUUCUCCUUGCUCAGGCAGAGAAGAGGACAGAUGGGGUUUUGGUCUCCUGUGUGUAGCCAGAGGGACUGCCUUGUCCUUCGCCAUCUCCAGUAGUUCCUGAGACCACAGCUGCUGAUGGCAAAUGCCCCCAGUCCCAGCCAUGCCCCAGCCCCCUGCAUUGAGAGACCCAGCUCCACCCAGAGGGCAGCUGCAGCCUCCUUCAUCCACAGCCACUGCUGUGACCAAGAGGGACAUUGUCCUGGAAGGCCAGUGGAGCCUUUCUGAGGCCUUCACAGGCCCAAUGUCCACCCUGGUCAUGACACGUAUAAUAACACAGCUCUUGCAUUAAAUACUAUUUACUGCAGCAGAAUUUUUUUUUAAGUUUGUUAUAAUUUUGAAUUUUGUGAAGAGUAAAUUAUUCAUUUUGUUUUUUAACUUGAAUUUAUUCAUUAUACCUAAGUAAGAAUUGAUCUGGGCUAUGCUUGGCUAGUUGGUAUAAUACCA
rnacentral:lncRNA from 1 species